GACGAACGCUGGCGGCGCGCUUAACACAUGCAAGUCGAACGGAAAGGCCUGCUUUCCCUUGUGGAUUGCGGGUACUCGAGUGGCGAACGGGUGAGUAACACGUGAGUGAUCUGCCCCCAACUUGGGUAUAAGCCUGGGAAACUGGGUCUAAUUCCCGAUAGGACUGCAGGGUGGUGCCUGUGGUGGAAAACGAUUUUCUAGUGGUUGGGGAUGAGCUCGCGGCCUAUCAGCUUGUUGGUGGGGUAAUGGCCUACCAAGGCGGCGACGGGUAGCCGGCCUGAGAGGGUGGACGGGCACAUUGGGACUGAGAUACGGCCCAGACUCCUACGGGAGGCAGCAGUGGGGAAUAUUGCACAGUGGGCGGAAGCCUGAUGCAGCGACGCCGCGUGGGGGAUGACGGCCUUCGGGUUGUAAACUCCUUUCGACCGCGAGGAAGCCACCUGGUUGGAAGGGUGGUGACGGUAGUGGUAGAAGAAGCACCGGCUAACUACGUG
rnacentral:rRNA from 1 species